GGAGACCUUUUGAAAACAGACUCACCGAUAAGUGGAGGGAAUUCCCUUCCCCAUAGUCAUUCCCACAGGGGUUCAAAACGAGCUCUUUCCAAAGAGGACAGAAGAUGAGAAACUUUGUCUAGAAAGGACCUGAUAGCAAAUAUUCUAGAUUCUGCAGACUCUACACUCUCUGUCUCAACUACUCAGCUCUUCCACUGCAGCAGGAAGGCAGCCAUAAAUAAUACUUAAACAAGCAAGGGUCUGUGCGCCAAGAAAACCUUAUCAACAGACUCUGAAGUUGGGAUCGCCCAGAAUUUUGAUGUUUCGUGGACUGUUAUUCUUCUUUGGAUGUUUUUCAGUUCUUCAAAAAAGUAAAAACCAUUCUUAGCUUGUAGACCAUAUAAAAGUAGGUGACAGGUGGGACUUGACCGAGGGCCAUGGGGUGGAAGGUGCCGCUCUGGUUUUACUUGUGGUGGUUGCCGGCUUGGUUUUGGCCAGUCUGGGCUGAGCCACCAUCUAUGCUCGUUUAUCAUGGUCCCUUCAAGGGCCCAAGCCUGUUCGCAUCCUUGGGAUUGCUUGGGAUUUGUUCCUGUGGGUGCUUCACUGGACACAUUUGCCUCCAGGUCCCCCCAUGGCUAAUCUUUUCUCAUCUUUCAGUCUUUUAACUCUAAUGUCCCCUCUUGAGAGGCCUUCUCUGGCCCUUUCUCAAUGUACCCACCGUUAUAUUCACACCUACAACCACGCAUUUCCCCAUCACCUGCUUCACCUUCUGCACAGCACUUGCCUUACCUGCUGUGGUCCCACAUCUGCCCACUGCCUCCUCUCCCCAUGUGAGACAAACCCUUGCAGGCAGAAGACCUGUCUCUUGUGUUCCCUGCUGUGUCCCUUGUAUUGAAGCUGUACCCAGUGUCCUGCACCAAGCAAAUCCUUCUCCGAUAUUUGUUGAAAGAAGUUGCUAAGUGUUCACUAGCCAAGCAAGAGCCAAAAAGUACACAGCCAAAGUUUUGUUACCUUACCUGGUCCAGGGGGCAUCAAGCCUUGUCAUCAGCAUCAUUGUGUAAAUUUGUAAUAAUAACUUUUGGUAGCAGCUGAUUACGCUUUUCAAAUACAACCUCAUAUGGAGGCCUGUGUGGGUGCAAAACAGAUAAAAUGACAUUGCUUUGCUUGAAAUGAAGGUAGGAAGUUCCAAAAAAGACGCUCUUGGGCACACACCCCUAGUUGCCCCUUCUGGAAAUUUCCACAUCCCCUUCACUUCUAAGAAGCUCUUUGAGAGUCUCUGCUCCAGUCUGAAACUGACACUUGAGACAACCCUUUCCUAGUAACUCCAAGGCUGCCGGGAAGCUCCUUCUGCCCUUCACAUAUGAGCUAAAGAAUCAUGGAGUCAAUAAAUUCUAAGAAACUCCUUUCAAACCAUCCAAGGGCUUUCCUCUUCCAAAAGGCAUUUGAAACCCUGCUCAAAAUUAAAUUCUGAAGGAGAGCUGUGGUGCCCCACUGGCCAUCAGAUUGCUUCAUGAUUUUGUGGAAUGUGCUGAGCCUCAAUUUAUUUUUAAAAAGGCCUUCAUGGGAGUCCCCACUGUGGCACAAUGGGUUAAGGAUCCAGCAUUGUCUCUGCAGCAGCUCAGAUCGCUGUGGAGGCACAGGUUCAAUCCCUGGCCCUAAAGAAUGGUUAAGGAUCUGGCAUUGCAGCAGCUGUGGUGUAGAUCAUAGAUCGAAGCUGCGGCUCAGAUUCCACCCCUGGCCUGGGAACUUUCAUCUGUGCAAGUACGGCCAAAAAGAAAUAAAAAAUAAAAAGGCCUUAAUAGUACCUGCUCUUCCCACCUCACAGCUCAGGCAGGGGCUGCAAGGGAACAAAUAGAAUAUGCACUUUCCAGACUGUGGAAGAACAGGCUGUGCUUCUAGGCCAGCGUGAUCAGUUCCAAGCUCUGAACACUUGCCCUGCUCUGGCUACUAUAACAAAAUACCACAGACCGGGAGGCUUAAACAACAGAUGUUUAUUUUCUCACAGUUCUGGAGGCCAGAAGUCCAAGAUCAAGGCGCUGGCAGGGGUGGUUCCCUGAGGCCUCUCUCCUUGGCUUGCAGAAGCCCACCCUCCUGCUGCCUCGUCAGUGGUCUUUCCUCCUCCGUGUGCACACAGCCGAGGUGCCUCUCCAGGCCCUAAUCUCACAGGGAACACCCGUCAGAUGGAAUUAGGGCCCAGCCUAAUGGCCUCACCUUCACUGGAUCACCUCUUUAAUGGCCCUUGCUCCAAAUCCUGAGUACUGGGGUUAGGUCCUCAACAUGAAUUUGAGGGGGGGGACACAAUUCAGGCCAUAACCCUGGCUUCCGAGUUGUUUGCCAGUAGUUUUUGUCACUGUUCCUUUAACAUCCAUGGUUGCUCCUCCCUUCCCGCCCGACCUUGGAGGCCCGUAGGUCGCUAUGGAAACCCUUGACAUCAACUUCAUUGCCGCAAAAGAGGAGAGGUCCAGCCCAGGCUUCGUUUAUAGCUAUGCUUGGAAGGAGGAAAAGUUUUCUAGUAAAUUUUAUACGAGACAUUUAAAGUACAUAUCACUGCUUCUCAACAGCUGAUUUGGGGGCGGAGGAAAAGUCUUGAAUUCCUUCAAGAAAGAAAACCUGGUUCAGUGUUUUCUCUGCACAAAUAGGAUCCCAGGGGAGCGUGUGAAGGGUCUCCCGGGCAGUGCUGUCCGUCCGGUGGGAAAGGAGGGGAGGGGGCGGGGCUCAAAUCCUGGCUGCACCCUUUACAGUCACGGUGACCCGGGCACCUCAUGAUCCCAGAAGUCCGCUGACCCUUCGUAAAAUGACACUGCCCAUAAGGACCACUUCCGCUUCAUUGCGGGGCCCUCUCUGCACCAGGUGAGCCUCAUUAUCUGAUAAUACCAUUGGUUUAACACCGAAAAGCAAACAAAGAAACCAACCCCAGGAACUUGGAGGUCUCCUAUGAUUUCUUCCUUUGUAAGGAAAUUGGGUUGCUCGGUCUUAUAACUAGACCAUUUGGGCUGGGACUUGUCAUAAGGUGAUUUGCGUUGUGGGUUGUUUUUGGUUUGUUUUGGUUUUUAAUUUUUCAUACCUGUGUGUGUUGAGAAGGGAUUUAGUCUAGAGAGAAAUGCUGAUUUGGGCGUGAGGAGGGGAAAGAGAGAAGGAAGCAAGAAACGUCGUAGUAGAAUUGCACGAGGCAACUGAUUCUACCUGGGCUCUGCAAGAAGGGUGAAUUGAUUAAAUGGCAAUAAUCAAUCCAUCCAUCCAUCGAUCAGUCAUUCAAUCAAUCCGUCGUACAUCAGGUUGUUCUCAUCUUGCCAGCACAUUAGCAUCCCCUGGGGCAGGAGUUCCCAUUGAGGUUCAGCAGGUUAAGAACCUGACAGAGUCUCCAUGAGGAUUCGGGUUUGAUCCCUGGCUUUGCUCAGUGGGCUAAGGAUCGGGUGUGGCUGUGGCUGUGACCUGAGCCUGCAGUUGCAGCUCUGAUUUGACCCCUAGCCUUCAAACUUCCACAUGCUGUGGGUGCAAACAUAAAAAGAAAAAAGGAGUUCCUGUCAUGGUGCAGCAGAAACGAAUCCGACAAGGAACCAUGAGAUUGCAGGUUUGAUCCCUGGCCUCACUCAGUGGUUAAGGAUCUGGUGUUGCUGUGAGCUGUGAUGUAGGUUGCAGACGAGGCAGAUGCUGUGGCUGUGGUGUAGGCCGGAAGCUGUAGCUCUGAUUAGACCCCUAGCCUGGGAACCUCCAUAUGCUGUGGGUGUGGCCCUGAAAAGACAAAAGACAAAAAAAAAGAGAAUCCCCUGGGGAACUUUUAAAAACCCCAAUGCCCAAGCCAUACCCCAGACCAACUAAGGCAGAAUCUGGGAAAUUGUGGGCAUCAAUGGUGCCCGGGCAGCGGUGCUGUGAAGCUCCCAGGAAACCCCCAUAUGGAAUGGAGCCAGCAUGGAGAGCUGGCUCAGAGGCCAUCAGAUAACUCUGUGCCACUUAGUGGCUGUGACCUUGGACAAGAGGCGCAACAUCUCUGAGCCUCAACUUCCUCCUUCCUCUUUGAUCUUGAGGAUUGAAUCAGACGUACUUGGUUAAACAGUUGGGUUCCAGAUCAAGAACAGAAAUAACAGACAAGUAAUGGAUGUCUCUUGUUUCUUUUCUCACCAUCACCCAAUGGACGUGAAGGUGGGGCCUCCAUGUCCCCGUCUGCAAAAUGGCAAAGGUGGGAGGACCCCAGAGGUCAUUCGCUCUCCUGUCUACGAUUCUGCAAAGGUAGAGCAGUGGGUGAAGUACGAAGAAAGCUCGUUUCUUUAUGGAGUGACACCCAGAGGCCACUGGGCUGGCACCUUGGAGUCUUGUGAACUAGGCAGUCACCAUGCCUGCCCUCCUAGACUCUGAAGGCUACUGAGAGGCAAGGUUAAACCAUAUUCACACAAACCAGUGCAUUGUUCAUGACUAAUGGAGGGCAAGAGAGAGGAAAUUUGGGGACCUGGUCUAGGUUCUGGGAUAAGAAAAGAUCCCUCUGGAGUUCCCAUUGCGGCGCAGCAGAAGAGAAUCUGACUAGGAACCAUGAGGUUGUGGGAUCAAUCCCUGGCCUCGCUCAGUGGGUUAAGGAUCUGGCGUUGCCGUGAGCUGUGAUGUAGAUCGAAGACGCGGCUCGGAUCCUGUGUUGCUGUGGCUGUGGUGUAGGCCAGCAGCUACAGCUCCCACUGGACCCCUACCCUGGGAACUUCCAUAUGCCACAGGUAUGGCCCUAAAAAGCAAAAAAGAAAAGAAAAGGUCCUUCUGAUGACAUGACAUUUAAAAUAGUGGGUGAGGAGUUCCUGUUGUGGCUCAGUGGGUUAGGAACCCAACUAGUAUCCAUAAGCAUGCGGGUUUGAUCCCUGGCUUUGCUCAGAGGGUUAAGGAUCCGGCAUUGCCACGAGCUGUGGCACAGGUCACAGACGAGGCUUGGAUUUUGUGUUGCUGUGGCUGUGGCAUAGGCCGGGGACAACAGGUGCAAAGAUUGUGAGGAGGGGAGGAAUACGACAUUUUUGCAGAGAUUCUGUUUAAACCAUAAGUAAAUGAAUAAAAGAACCUCUUUUCUUUCUUAGAGCAUCUCAGGGGACCGGGGCUCCCCACAGUGUCCUUUGGGAGACAAUGGUAGAAUCAGAUGAGAGACUAGGUUUGAGUUCCAGGCAAAUCUUGAUCUUAUUCCAGCUUCACAGGAAAUAUUUGUGUGGGCGGAGGAGACAGUUUAACCUCCUGAACCUCUGCUUCUUCAUUUGUAAAGAGGAAAUAAUAAGUCAUAUUUUCCCCAUCUUUUGUGAGGAUUGGUAACUAUCGAUCACUCUCAAAUUGGCAAAGGGUAAAAUGGUUACUAUUACGAAGUUGUAUAGCCCUUGGUGAGAGAGAAACCUGGUUCAAAUCCCAGUACUGCCAUUUCCCAGGCAUAUAACCUUGGUCCCAUCACUUAAAUCUCUGACCCUCUGUUUACUGACCUCUGAUAAAGGGGGUUCAUAAGAGCUACCUUUGGAGACUGUUGUAAGAAUUAAAUAAAACAAUGCGGUCAAGUUCAGGCAAAGGGUAGGCAUAAAUGAAAUGAUCAUUAAAAGGAAGGGAGAUUCUUCUCUUGGAAAAGGGGAGGGUUUGCCUGAAUUAUGUAAACGUGGUUUCCAAUCCAUCAACCGCCUUGCUCAGUGUAGACAUAUCGCAAACAGUGCCACCAUGGGUUUAGACACAUAAU
rnacentral:lncRNA from 1 species